GACGAACGCUGGCGGCGUGCUUAACACAUGCAAGUCGAACGGAAAGGCCCUGCUUUUGUGGGGUGCUCGAGUGGCGAACGGGUGAGUAACACGUGAGUAACCUGCCCUUGACUUUGGGAUAACUUCAGGAAACUGGGGCUAAUACCGGAUAGGAGCUCCUGCUGCAUGGUGGGGGUUGGAAAGUUUCGGCGGUUGGGGAUGGACUGGCGGGUUAUCAGCUUGUUGGUGGGGUAGUGGCUUACCAAGGCUUUGACGGGUAGCCGGCCUGAGAGGGUGACCGGCCACAUUGGGACUGAGAUACGGCCCAGACUCCUACGGGAGGCAGAAGUGGGGAAUAUUGCACAAUGGGCGGAAGCCUGAUGCAGCAACGCCGCGUGCGGGAUGACGGCCUUCGGGUUGUAAACCGCUUUCGCCUGUGACGAAGCGUGAGUGACGGUAAUGGGUAAAGAAGCACCGGCUAACUACGUG
rnacentral:rRNA from 1 species